rnacentral:pre_miRNA from 1 species
AGGGGGAGCACAGGAUCCUGGGCUGUGUCCCCCGGUGCUCUGGGAUCCGGGGCCUGUGCUGCUGGAAUCUUGCUCCCACGGCCGCAGCCCCCA